CGAUGAAGCCCACUUGUGGGUGGAUUAGUGGCGAACGGGUGAGUAACACGUGAGUAACCUGCCCUUGACUCUGGGAUAAGCCUGGGAAACUGGGUCUAAUACCGGAUAUGACUGAUCAUCGCAUGGUGGUUGGUGGAAAGCUUUUUGUGGUUUUGGAUGGACUCGCGGCCUAUCAGCUUGUUGGUGAGGUAAUGGCUUACCAAGGCGACGACGGGUAGCCGGCCUGAGAGGGUGACCGGCCACACUGGGACUGAGACACGGCCCAGACUCCUACGGGAGGCAGCAGUGGGGAAUAUUGCACAAUGGGCGCAAGCCUGAUGCAGCGACGCCGCGUGAGGGAUGACGGCCUUCGGGUUGUAAACCUCUUUCAGUAGGGAAGAAGCGAAAGUGACGGUACCUGCAGAAGAAGCGCCGGCUAACUACGUGCCAGCAGCCGCGGUAAUACGUAGGGCGCAAGCGUUAUCCGGAAUUAUUGGGCGUAAAGAGCUCGUAGGCGGUUUGUCGCGUCUGCCGUGAAAGUCCGGGGCUCAACUCCGGAUCUGCGGUGGGUACGGGCAGACUAGAGUGAUGUAGGGGAGACUGGAAUUCCUGGUGUAGCGGUGAAAUGCGCAGAUAUCAGGAGGAACACCGAUGGCGAAGGCAGGUCUCUGGGCAUUAACUGACGCUGAGGAGCGAAAGCAUGGGGAGCGAACAGGAUUAGAUACCCUGGUAGUCCAUGCCGUAAACGUUGGGCACUAGGUGUGGGGGACAUUCCACGUUUUCCGCGCCGUAGCUAACGCAUUAAGUGCCCCGCCU
rnacentral:rRNA from 1 species